rnacentral:tmRNA from 1 species
GGGGGUGAUCGGCUUCGACUUUGUCUGCUCAGGUGAGUGAAGCGAGUCGUGGUCUCCGAAUCCACGUUAAAGAGUCGGAAACAAACACAAACGCCAACGUUUCCAACGACGAACUGGCACUCGCCGCCUGAUAGGCGGUGAGUCUCGGCUCCGGUGCCCCGGCCCCACGGACACCGGAUGCCUUCAUCAAGUGGGGCUCACCCGGCGGCGGUGUCGACACACCACCGGGGACAUCUCAGUCGGCUAAGGGAUUCGUAGGGUGCCGAUGCCCGGCGAAUCCCCGACAACCAACCAUCGGCUGCACUCGGAGAAGCCUCACCGAUGCGAUGAAGGACGCGGGUUCGAUUCCCGCCACCUCCACGC